rnacentral:rRNA from 1 species
CUAUCUCUCUGCCGGCGAGCGGCGGACGGGUGAGUAAGGCUUGGGUAUCUGCCCAGUCGAGGGGGAUAACAGUUGGAAACGACUGCUAAUACCGCAUACGCCCUACGGGGGAAAGGAGGGGAUCUUCGGACCUUUCGCGAUUGGAUGAGCCCAAGUGAGAUUAGCUAGUUGGUGAGGUAAUGGCUCACCAAGGCGACGAUCUCUAGCUGGUCUGAGAGGAUGACCAGCCACACUGGGACUGAGACACGGCCCAGACUCCUACGGGAGGCAGCAGUGGGGAAUAUUGCACAAUGGGGGAAACCCUGAUGCAGCCAUGCCGCGUGUGUGAAGAAGGCCUUCGGGUUGUAAAGCACUUUCAGUGGUGAGGAAGGAAGUAAGGUUAAUACCCUUGCUUAUUGACGUUAGCCACAGAAGAAGCAC